ensembl:lncRNA
GCUCUUGUGUUUGAUCACUCCACUGAUGAUCUGUAGUUUAUAAAGUCCAGAGUGUAAUUUGUUGAUGUUUGUGAUGGUCAGAGAUCCUGUCUGCUCAUCUAUCUUUAGUUUGUCUCUGAAUCUCUCAUUCUCCCCACUAUCAUACAUAGAAAUGAUGUGUUUAUAGAUUUCAGCGAUACGAGUCUCUGAACUGUUAAGUCUAAAUGACCACAGUAUCUGAUCAUUUUUCUGUAGUUCAGUAACAUCAGUGUUUAAAGUGACAGAAUCUCCCUCCAUCACUGAUAUCAUCAUGGUUUCAUCUGAAUAAACAUCAGACACACCUGGUAGAAAAGAAUCGGCAAAACAGUCACAGAUUAUCACCACAGAUAUCUUACAGAGUUUAUUUGAAAACAAAAAUAAAACUCCAUUACAAUUUCUUUAACAUAAGAAUUUAUAAGUAUGAAAAAAAAGAACAAAAGUAUCAAGCUUCAUUUUUACACAACUUAUACAAUAAACAGCAUGAUAAUGAAAUGUGGGGAUAGGGACAGUUCUCCUAAAAUGAAGUUUCUGUCAUCAUUUACUCACCCUCAUGUUAUUCCAAACCUGUAUGACUGAUUUCCAUCUGUGGAGCACAAGAGAAGAUAAUCUGUGUUUUCUUUGUCAAACAGUGAAAGUCAAUUGUUGUUUGGACCUCACUGUUCUUCAGAAUAUCUUCUUUGUUCCGCAGAUAAAGAACAUUAAACACAUAAAGGUGAAGAAAUUAUGACUCUUUUCACUAGUCGUCAAAUAUGGGUUUAUUCUCUUUGGUGCUAUACUGUAUUUCCCACUUUUGUGAAUGUUUAAAAAAGAGAAAUCAGCAAAAUACCUUGUUUUGCAGGCUAUUCCACAUACAGGUCUUACAGGUUUGGAAACACAUGAUGGAGAGCAAAUAACAAUUUUGGGCUAAAAACUAAAGUGAUUAAAUGGCAUGUAGGCUUUAGAUGAAGUUAAAUAUAUUUUGGCAAACUGUACAUCUUUUAACAUGCUGUAAACUGCACAUUCAAUUUAUUAUUUUUACAUUCCUGGGUAUACGUCUUCAUUCCCUAUAGGCGAAAAUUCAACGAAGAAGACGUUUUAGUUUAACAAGCAUUCCUGUUUCCAUUCAAACUGUUAGAACAUACUGGAAUUUGAUGGUAUAGUCUAUAGGAAAUAAAUGAAGCAAUUAAAACAUUACUUACCUCCCAAAAGCCACAGACAUAAACAGAAAAAUGCACGAAAAACCAUUUUCGUUAAAAGCCAAAACAGUCUGAAAGCAUAAACCGAGACAUUUCUGAGAAUAAUAUUCAGAGGUCUGUUCAAC